ensembl:lncRNA
AAGCAGGUUCCAGCAUAGAUGAAAGUACGGAGCCAACCAUCCUUAGUAAACAAUUGAUUCCAUAUGUGAUUCGGGGGAAAAGGUUGAACUGUUGAGUCAUUUGCCAUAAAUGAUGACAUUCAUUUUAAAUCUAUCCCAGUCUGCUUGUCUGGCAUAAAGCCAGAGUACCAAAAAAAAAAAAUGUUCUAAGGAAUUAGUCAGUUUUUCUGUAAGCAAGCUUUUGUGAAUCGUAUAAAGGACUACUCCUCUCUGACUCAGAAUUGUCAGUGUCCAAUGUUUUUGUCAAGUGCUUUGGAAAAACUGUAAAUGUUAAACCAUCCACCCACCAGAGAGAAGUCUGCACAGAAAGAUCUCAGCGCACUGAAUCGCCCAGCCAGAAGCCAACUCAGCAUUUCUUCUUUAUUUACUAAUAAACUACAACUCAUUCUUUAUCUAAAGGUCACGCUUUUGUCAUGGAUCGGACAUUGUGUCUGUGUGCCGCUCUGUUUCCUCAUUCGCCUCACCACUUGCUAAAGAUAGCACCAUUAAACAUCAUGGAACAAAAAAUGAUUCAAUAAUGAAGCUGCUUUUGGCCUAAAAUGGUCAAAGAAAAAAAAAGCUUCCCUGACGUCCUGACAGCAUGUCCAUGCUCAGAUUUUGAAGAGAUGUAUGGUAAAUGCACAAUAACAGCUCAAGAGAGUAUUUAACUGUUUGAUAUUCGUCAUAGGUAGCCAUAAACCAAUAAAUAACCACAAAUGGCUGAGUAUGCACUUUAAUAAAACCAACCAAAAUCUACAUAUUUGGAUGGCUUUGGAUCCAGAUGUUCACUUCCCCAUGGUUUUACUGCACUGUACAGCAAAAAAAAAAAAGAAAAAGAAAAGAAAAGUUUUCAGCAAUUUCAGCUGCCCAGCUCAAAGUGUUUUCUAGUGUCAGCACACUGCAUCUGACUAUAACAGGCACCAUAGUUCAAGUCAAAGCUGAGAUCUUCUAAUACCAUAUAGCUGCAGAGGAAAAGCCAUACAAGUAGAGGCCAUAAAAGGCUACUGACUUAACAUAUUUACAUUCAGUACUUAAUUACCCAGAAUAACCUGUGACGCUAUUGGCAGUAGUGCAGUCAAAAUAAGAGAAAUCCUGGGACUGCUGAGCUACUACACCACAUACUUUCCUCAGGAAUGGAAUGCUGCUGCUGCUCCUCAAGUCUGAGGGAGGAGGUCGCUGUUUUCCCUCACUCAAAGGUAUUUUUUGAAUACCUUGUAGUGGAGAGCUGACUCAAAAAUAUAGGAGUAGGAGGAGAAGAAGGAGGAGGGGGUGGUGAACAUACUUAGAGAGCAACAGGUUUAUGACUUCCUUUAGAAAUCUGAAGUUUUUCUUGGCUAAUGCUGGCAACGUGAGCUGACUUUGUGCAGAUUAGUUUUGUAAAGUAAGCAAAAGCAGUCGCCAGCAGUAUCUGUCUUCUAUUUAUGGCCUCCCCCAGGCCUCCCCCCCCCUCCCCACCCCACCUCCCCAGACUGACGUCAGCACAAAGUUAUUUUCAUGAAUGGAGGGGGCGGUCACGAGGAAUCGGUGACGUGAGUGCUUGCGGAAGCAGAGCGUGGAAUGUUGGUACAUUGUUGUUGUUUUGUAGUUAAUUUAGUACGAGGAUACGCCGCUGCCCGUCUGUGCUGGACGCUUUUUACCAAGUUUGUCAACUUGCUUCACCGGUUGUCGAGGAAACAUACUUUGACAGUUUUACACACUCCGGUCCACAGAUAUCUGAGUCCACAGAGGUGAGGAUGUAUUUUUUUUAAAUUAUUUAUUUUUUUCGGGAAGAUGUUUUGACAUUCCUUUCUAAAUUACUCGAGUUCUCACGGUGACAUAGUGGCGCACGCAAACAGGCUUGUGUUGUGCAUCCUCUUCGUAGGAUAAGUUUUGAUCCCAGUUAUGAAAGCUCAUGUUGAUUUCGUAGAUUUGUUUCUUUCGGGCGGACACGUGUUGUGCUGGAGAUACAUAAUACAGUGCUUCAAAAGUGGCGCAGACCUCCGAGCAGUCGCAUAUAGGAAGUUAGAAAUUGUAUGAAAAUAUGUAAAAGGGGGAAACAAACGUGUGUUUUGUCGCUUUCCUGCGAUUUGAAAUAGUUCUUUGAAAAUAACAGCGGUGAUUAUGACACUGACUGAAUGCGGUCCCUUUAAAAAAAAUUAUAGCUAAUAAUUUUUAUAAACUGUAUAACGAGCGAGGAGACGUUUUCGACCAGCAUUGUGGGAGGGAAGAAAAAUAAGACGAUAAAAAUCACACUAUUUCUUCGCACUUCUCAUUAAAAGUAAAGCUAAAGUUACAGAAUGUGUUACAAAAUAUGUUUAUAUACUAUUACUAAGCAUGCCUGAACCUCUAAGGUUUUAGAUUAUAACUUUUUCUAGAACGAAAAAAACCCAAACCCCAAAAUUGCAUUCCCCCCCAUGUGUGUUUAUUUAUAGCAUUUCUGUGACUUGAAUGAGAUUUUCGGAAAAUGGAAGUGAAAUAAACUUCCUCACUUUCCUA